GACGAACGCUGGCGGCGUGCUUAACACAUGCAAGUCGAGCGGAAAGGCCCUGCUUUUGUGGGGUGCUCGAGUGGCGAACGGGUGAGUAACACGUGAGUAACCUGCCCUUGACUUUGGGAUAACUUCAGGAAACUGGGGCUAAUACCGGAUAGGAGCUCCUGCUGCAUGGUGGGGGUUGGAAAGUUUCGGCGGUUGGGGAUGGACUCGCGGCUUAUCAGCUUGUUGGUGGGGUAGUGGCUUACCAAGGCUUUGACGGGUAGCCGGCCUGAGAGGGUGACCGGCCACAUGGGGACUGAGAUACGGCCCAGACUCCUACGGGAGGCAGCAGUGGGGAAUAUUGCACAAUGGGCGGAAGCCUGAUGCAGCAACGCCGCGUGCGGGAUGACGGCCUUCGGGUUGUAAACCGCUUUCGCCUGUGACGAAGCGUGAGUGACGGUAAUGGGGAAAGAAGCACCGGCUAACUACGU
rnacentral:rRNA from 1 species